rnacentral:rRNA from 1 species
AGCUCCAAUAGCGUAUAUUAAAGUUGUUGCAGUUAAAAAGCUCGUAGUUGGAUUUGUGGCUGUCGCAGGCGGCCUGGCACUUAGUGCCGGUGCUUGCAUGCGUCGCCAUCCUUGGGUGGAAUCUGUGUGGCAUUAGGUUGUCGUGCAGGGGAUGCCCAUCGUUUACUGUGAAAAAAUUAGAGUGUUCAAAGCAGGCUUAUGCCGUUGAAUAUGUUAGCAUGGAAUAAUGAGAUAGGACCUUGGUACUAUUUUGUUGGUUUGCGCACCGAGGUAAUGAUUAAAAGGGACAGUUGUGGGUAUUCGUAUUCCAUUGUCAGAGGUGAAAUUCUUGGAUUUUUGGAAGACGAACUACUGCGAAAGCAUUUACCAAGGAUGUUUUCAUUAAUCAAGAACGAAAGUA